rnacentral:rRNA from 1 species
GACGGACGCUGGCGGCGUGCUUAACACAUGCAAGUCGAGGGGGCUCGGGGGCAACUCCGGGUCACCGGCGAACGGGUGCGUAACACGUGAGCGACCUGCCGAUCUGCGGGGGAUAGCCGGCCCAACGGCCGGGUAAUACCGCAUACGUUCUCUUGGGGGCAUCCCUGAGAGAGGAAACCUCCGGGGCGAUCGAGGGGCUCGCGGCCUAUCAGCUAGGUUGGGGGGUAACGGCCUCCCAAGGCGACGACGGGUAGCUGGUCUGAGAGGA